CCUGGUGACAAUAGCUGUGUGGAACCACCCGAUCCCUUCCCGAACUCGGAAGUGAAACGCACACGCGCCGAUGGUAGUGUGGCUCAAGCCAUGCAAGAGUAGGUCAUCGCCAGGGGCUUUACACCGAAGGCCGGAUCCAACAGGAUCCGGCCUUCUUCUUUUGCGCGC
rnacentral:rRNA from 1 species